AAGCUGGAAUCGCUAGUAAUCGUAGAUCAGCAUGCUACGGUGAAUACGUUCCCGGGUCUUGUACACACCGCCCGUCACACCACGAGAGUUUGUAACACCCGAAGCCGGUGGAGUAACCUUUUAUUAGGAGCUAGCCGUCGAAGGUGGGACAGAUGAUUGGGGUGAAGUCGUAACAAGGUAGCCGUAUCGGAAGGUGCGGCUGGAUCACCUCCUUU
rnacentral:rRNA from 1 species